rnacentral:rRNA from 1 species
UACCUCAGUAACGGCGAGUGAAGCGGUAACAGCUCAAAUUUGAAAGCUAGCUCUUUUAGGGUUCGCAUUGUAAUUUGUAGAAGAUGCUUCGGGUGUGGCCCCGGUCUAAGUUCCUUGGAACAGGACGUCAUAGAGGGUGAGAAUCCCGUAUGUGACUGGGUGCUUUCGCUCAUGUGAAGCUCUUUCGACGAGUCGAGUUGUUUGGGAAUGCAGCUCAAAAUGGGUGGUAAAUUUCAUCUAAAGCUAAAUAUUGGCCAGAGACCGAUAGCGCACAAGUAGAGUGAUCGAAAGAUGAAAAGCACUUUGGAAAGAGAGUUAAACAGUACGUGAAAUUGUUGAAAGGGAAGCGCUUGCAACCAGACUUGCGCGCUGAUGAUCAUCCGGGCUUCUGUCCGGUGCACUCGUCUGCGCUCAGGCCAGCAUCGGUUUCGGUGGUGGGAUAAAGGCCUUGGGAAUGUAGCUUCUUUCGGGGAGUGUUAUAGCCCUCGGUGCAAUGCCGCCUACCGGGACCGAGGACCGCGCUUCGGCUAGGAUGCUGGCGUAAUGGUUGUAAGCGACCCGUCUUGAAACACGGACCAAGGAGUCUAACAUCUAUGCGAGUGUUUGGGUGUCAAACCCAUACGCGUAAUGAAAGUGAACGGAGGUGAGAACCCUUAAGGGUGCAUCAUCGACCGAUCCUGAUGUCUUCGGAUGGAUUUGAGUAAGAGCAUAGCUGUUGGGACCCGAAAGAUGGUGAACUAUGCGUGAAUAGGGUGAAGCCAGAGGAAACUCUGGUGGAGGCUCGCAGCGGUUCUGACGU